CUUCCGCCGGCGACCGGCGCACGGGUGAGUAACACGUAUGCAACCUGCCCCUGUCAGGGGGACAACCCGCCGAAAGGCAGGCUAAACCCGCGUACAUGCCACCGGGGCAUCCCGGAGGCAGGAAAGGCUUCGGCCGGACAGGGAUGGGCAUGCGGCGCAUUAGGCAGUAGGCGGGGUAACGGCCCACCUAACCGACGAUGCGUAGGGGUUCUGAGAGGAAGGUCCCCCACACUGGUACUGAGACACGGACCAGACUCCUACGGGAGGCAGCAG
rnacentral:rRNA from 1 species